UACGUAGGGACCAAGCGUUGUUCGGAAUUACUGGGCGUAAAGGGCUCGUAGGUGGCCAACUAAGUCAGACGUGAAAUCCCUCGGCUUAACCGGGGAACUGCGUCUGAUACUGGAUGGCUUGAGUUUGGGAGAGGGACGCGGAAUUCCAGGUGUAGCGGUGAAAUGCGUAGAUAUCGAGAGGAACACCGGCGGCGAAGGCGGCCAACUGGACGAAUACUGACGCUGAGACUCGAAAGCGUGGGGAGCAAACAGG
rnacentral:rRNA from 1 species